ACAAACUUGGUCAUUUAGAGGAAGUAAAAGUCGUAACAAGGUUUCCGUAGGUGAACCUGCGGAAGGAUCAUUAAAGAUGUAAGAGUGCGAGCGCACUCUCACUCUCCUUCACACACAUGUGGACUGUCUUGAGUGCUGGCGGGAAAUUCGCCGCAAGGCAAAGGUCCCCUUGCACCUCUCCUUUUUUCCAUACGCCACAGUUCUUGAAUGGCUCGCCGCAUGGCGAUUAAAAUUGAAUACAACUUUCAGCAACGGAUCUCUAGGCUCUCGCAUCGAUGAAGAACGCAGC
rnacentral:misc_RNA from 1 species